CCUACGGGAGGCUGCAGUGAGGAAUAUUGGUCAAUGGGCGCGAGCCUGAACCAGCCAAGCAGCGUGAAGGAUGAAUGCCCUACGGGUUGUAAACUUCUUUUAUAAAGGAAUACAGUGAGGCACGUGUGCCUUUUUGUAUGUACUUUAUGAAUAAGGCUCGGCUAACUCCGUGCCAGCAGCCGCGGUAAUACGGAGGAUCCGAGCGUUGUUCGGAUUUAUUGGGUUUAAAGGGAGCGUAGAUGGGUUGUUAAGUCAGUUGUGAAAGUUUGCGGCUCAACCCUAAAAUUGCAAUUGAUACUGGCAGACUUGAGUGCAGGUGAGGUAGGCGGAAUUCGUGGUGUAGCGGUGAAAUGCUUAGAUAUCACGAAGAACUCCGAUUGCGAAGGCAGCCUACUA
rnacentral:rRNA from 1 species